UCUCCGUAGGUGAACCUGCGGAGGGAUCAUUACACAAAUAUGAAGGCGGGCUGGAACCUCUCGGGGUUACAGCCUUACUGAAUUAUUCACCCUUGUCUUUUGCGUACUUCUUGUUUCCUUGGUGGGUUCGCCCACCACUAGGACAAACAUAAACCUUUUGUAAUUGCAAUCAGCGUCAGUAACAAAUUAAUAAUUACAACUUUCAACAACGGAUCUCUUGGUUCUGGCAUCGAUGAAGAACGCAGCGAAAUGCGAUAAGUAGUGUGAAUUGCAGAAUUCAGUGAAUCAUCGAAUCUUUGAACGCACAUUGCGCCCUUUGGUAUUCCAAAGGGCAUGCCUAUUCGAGCGUCAUUUGUACCCUCAAGCUUUGCUUGGUGUUGGGCGUCUUGUCUCUAGCUUUGCUGGAGACUCGCCUUAAAGUAAUUGGCAGCCGGCCUACUGGUUUCGGAGCGCAGCACAAGUCGCACUCUCUAUCAGCAAAGGUCUAGCAUCCAUUAAGCCUUUUUUUCAACUUUUGACCUCGGAUCAGGUAGGGAUACCCGCUGAACUUAAGCAUAUCA
rnacentral:rRNA from 1 species